GGAUGUGAGGGCGAUCUGGCUGCGACAUCUGUCACCCCAUUGAUCGCCGGGGUUGAUUCAGCUGAUCUGGCUGGCUAGGCGGGUGUCCCCUUCCUCCUUCACUGCUGCAUGUGCGUCCCUCCCGAAGCUGUGCGCUCGGUUGAAGAGGACGACCUUCCCCGAUAGAGGAGGACCGUUCUUCGAUCAAGGGUAUACGAGUAGCUGCGCUCCCCUGCUAGAACCUCCAAACAAGCUCUCAAGGUCCAUACUGUAGGGGAACACUCUAUUCCCUUCCUAUGGGGCUAUAUAUACUGGUAGGCCUGGCUAGGUGUCCUAUGAAGU
rnacentral:snRNA from 1 species